GCCAGGUCCAGCAGGAGCACGGGGAGACUGACUCGUGCUGCGAGGCAGCGCCUGGCGCGAAGGACGCACGUGGACGGCAGCGGCAGAACGGAGGCCGAAGCUGCGCAUCGUGGCGCCGGCAGCCCCGCCAAGCAUGCGGACGGGAGAGGGGCCGCGAGUGGGAACACGUCACGUUCUGCCGGGACGUGGAAUCCAACGGGCGACCCUCAGGAUCGCGUCAAUCCUUGACUCGAGUCACCACGUCGCAAGAGUGUGAAUCAGGCUCGCUCCAAUCGGUGCCACCUCCAGUCCCAAUGGUCAUCAGCAGCAGGAAAGCGCCAUCCUGUCGGAGACAACCCAGGGAAAAUCGGCGGAGUCCCACGCGCCGGUGUGCAACGACGGCCAAAAUCCAUCCACCUGGUAUCAGAUUACGAUUCCUUUUGGAAGGAAGUAUGGGAAGAAUGGGCUCAUGCAGUCCCUGCAGCAGGGCUGCUACACGCCCUUUACUCCGUUGCAGGGAUGAAUUUCCACUUUGAGGGAGUUAUGGCAACAUUCUCAGUGGUGGACUACAUGGCGGCCGUGAAGCUCAAGGCGCGGUCGCGUAAAAUUGUCUAUCCCGACAACUAUAGGGCCAUCGUCUUGAUGCGCCCACUCGUGGGCCCACCGUCUCCGCUCGCUGCGGAACUGACGGAGGACGACCGGCGGCUGAUCGAGGAAGAAGCAAAGCUACCGCAGCCACCAGCGUCCACACCUCUGCCACCCACACCUCUGCCGCCCACCUCAGCCGACAUUCAAGGCCUCAUCGCGAGCUUCUUCAAGGAGUAAUACAAUCUGUAUGAUACUGCAGACCGUCAGGGUCUGCUCAAGAAGUAUCAUAAGGAUGUCCUCAUCACCAUCUACACCCCCUCAGAAAGCAGCCUGGGAGAGGAUGGUGCAGAUAAGGAGAGCCCGGAAGAUUCACUUGAGUGUUGCCCGAGUCAAGCGGCUGACGGUGGAGGUCUUCCUCACACGCAUCACGAUGCGUCUUCCUUCACCACCACCAUCAGCCGUGGCACGUCAAGAAUUGCCGGGAGUCAGUGAAGGUGUUUUGGUGAGUGGUGCAAUUGGUGCCAACCAUGGACGGCAGGCCAUCUGUCGUGAGCAAGCGGCUGUUCAUCCGCCAAGCUUAUUCAAAUGCCUGGAGCAGAACAAUUGGGAUUUCUCCAAGGCGGCCGAUGACUUCAUCCACCUCAAUGCGAGUACCGUGCCGCCCACACUGCUGACCGACACGCGGCGUCACAACUGGACGGGUGUGUUCAGAUUUGGCGAGCGUCGCUCAUGACGCCGCUUGCCUCUCCUUCUACUCUGCCCCUCCUCCUUCCCGCAUCAGCAUCGCUGCUCCGGGUUUGGUUGUGGCUCCUGCUCCGGUGCGGAUCUACCAAAACCACGGUCGGCAAUCGUCAUUCCCAUCGUCAGAAUGGAGGGAAGAUUCCGGAGGAGGAAUUUAUAUAAUCAGCGCUCACCCCACCGAAUGGAUCCUUCCACAUGUUUCUGUUUUGUGUCAAACUUUGAUUGUUUUUUGUAUUAUAAAAUGUAAUAAUUAUUAUGCUAUUAGUUUUGGCUGUCGUUGUGACAUCUGUUAAAAGCAUCGCUACGGAUUGCAGUGCACGCAGUACAAACCAUCCUUGCUUAGCGCUCACGAUGCAUUUUACCAUUGUAGAAAUGGGGAUGUGUUCCCGACAAUGUUAUUUCUCAUGUAUGAGCAAUAUAUGAUUGGCUUCAUUGGGUUAUUUGUAAAAUCGCUAAUAAAAAUGCAGAUUGUAAACAGAACUUUAUAAUCUAUAUAACACGUGACUGUACUCACCAGUGCAUUCUGCUGUACUCUUGGUGAGGUUCAUUUUAUAUGGAGCCUGAGACUCUCAUCUGGCUAACUGUAGUGUAAUCACAUUGAAAUUCCGUUUCCUUGUAUAUAGAUCACUGUCCACAGAAGAAAUUUGUUUUGUGGGCCAAAGCAUUAGUUGCUGCAUAUCCAGUAGAUCUCGAACAUCAUUCACUGAUUAAUUCCUGUUUUUCCUGCAUUGGUAUGCAGGAGGAAAAAAACAUUGGCAGAUAUGCUCAAAUCCCACAUAUCUAACAAGCUGAUCAGCAGCUUUCAGAAUGUUACAUUGCUCUGUAUCUUGCCAUCUUGGGAAUCAAUUGUGAAAGGGAGGGUUAUUUUUCCAAGCUAAAGCUGAUAAAAAAAAAUAUGUCUCCCAUCAACCAGAGAAAAACAACGUUGCCUUGUUUUUCCUUGCACUGCUACUUUCUAUCUAUUGAG